UACGGAGGAUCCAAGCGUUAUCCGGAUUUAUUGGGUUUAAAGGGCGCGUAGGCGGCUCGGCACGUCCGUUGUGAAAUCGCCCGGCUCAACUGGGCGGGGUCAGCGGAUACGGUCGAGCUUGAGCAAGCUAGGGGGUAAUGGAAUUCCCGGUGUAGUGGUGGAAUGCGUAGAUAUCGGGAGGAACACCAGUGGCGAAGGCGGUUACCUGGGGCUUUGCUGACGCUGAUGCGCGAAAGCGUGGGGAGCGAUCCGG
rnacentral:rRNA from 1 species